GAUGAAGAACGUAGCGAAAUGCGAUACGUAAUGUGAAUUGCAGAAUUCAGUGAAUCAUCGAGUCUUUGAACGCACAUUGCGCCCCCUGGUAUUCCGGGGGGCAUGCCUGUCCGAGCGUCAUUGCUGCCCUCAAGCACGGCUUGUGUGUUGGGCCUCCGUCCUCCUCCCGGGGGACGGGCCCGAAAGGCAGCGGCGGCACCGCGUCCGGUUCUCGAGCGUAUGGGGCUUCGUCACCCGCUCUUGUAGGCCCGGUCGGCGCUUGCCGACACAUCAAUCUUUUUUCCAGGUUGACCUCGGAUCAGGUAGGGAUACCCGCUGAACUUAAGCAUAUCAAUAAGCGGAGGA
rnacentral:misc_RNA from 1 species